rnacentral:rRNA from 1 species
CUACGGGGGGCAGCAGUGGGGAAUAUUGGACAAUGGGCGAAAGCCUGAUCCAGCCAUGCCGCGUGUGUGAAGAAGGCCUUCGGGUUGUAAAGCACUUUCAGUGGGGAAGAAAGCCUUGGGGCUAAUACCCUCGAGGAAGGACAUCACCCACAGAAGAAGCACCGGCUAACUCCGUGCCAGCAGCCGCGGUAAUACGGAGGGUGCGAGCGUUAAUCGGAAUUACUGGGCGUAAAGCGCGCGUAGGCGGUCUGAUAAGCCGGUUGUGAAAGCCCCGGGCUCAACCUGGGAACGGCAUCCGGAACUGUCAGGCUAGAGUGCAGGAGAGGAAGGUAGAAUUCCCGGUGUAGCGGUGAAAUGCGUAGAGAUCGGGAGGAAUACCAGUGGCGAAGGCGGCCUUCUGGACUGACACUGACGCUGAGGUGCGAAAGCGUGGGUAGCAAACAGGAUUAGAUACCCCAGUAGUC